UACGGAGGGUGCGAGCGUUGUCCGGAAUCACUGGGCGUAAAGGGCGCGUAGGCGGCGCGGGAAGUCAACGGUGAAAGCUUGGGGCUCAACUCCGAGUCGGCCGUCGAUACUCCCGUGCUCGAGCACUGUAGAGGCAGAUGGAAUUCCGGGUGUAGGCGGUGGAAUGGACGUAGAUAUCGUAAGGAAGAACCAGUGGCGAAGGCGGGAUC
rnacentral:rRNA from 1 species